GACAAUGUUAGAGAAGCCCUAUAUAAGAAAUUGUUCUAGAGGAACAAACUCUACCACCACAAGAGCCUAUGUCAUUAAGGAGAUCUACUAGAGAAAGAAGAAGAGCAAUGCCAGCUAGCUAUAUUGUAUUUCUCUAAAAACAUAAGAUGGAUAUUAGUGUAACAUAUGUGAAAAAAGAGAGAGAGAGAGAGAAAGGCGAUUACAUAAAAAAUAAAAGAAGCUAGAAAUUUGUUUUAAGGGGCAACAUAUUCACACGUGAGAGAGGGGGGAAGCUGUCAAACUGACCCAAACCCACGAACCUAACCCAACCAUAUCUCCGAUUACCGGCCACCUCACCAGCCAUGGAAGGUAGCAAAUGAAAGCUCUUGAGCCGACCAUUACUCCCUUGCCAUCACUAUUGCCAAAAACCAAUUAGAACACCGUCGUUUGUAGCAUGAAAAUUUGCGACCAAACCCAUCACCACCGCCAUGGAUUCCGUCGGAAUCUCUGAUUACCGGUCACCUCACCAACCAUGGAAGGUAGCAAACGAAAGCUCUUGAGCCAGCCAUUACUCACAUGCCAUCACUGUUGCCAAAAAUCGACCAGAACACCAUUGUUUGUAGCACGAAAAUUCGCAGCCAAACCCAUCACCACCGCCAUGGAUUCUAUCG
rnacentral:lncRNA from 1 species